UGAAUAAAAGAGACGUAAAAUUUAUUCCGAUGUAUAAGUGUAUUUAAAAUUGAACAACGUACUAAAAAUGGAUGAUCGAAUUUUUCAAUUUAAAAUCGAAGUUAUUGAUCUUUAUCUAGUAAAUAAAAUUUUCUACCAAAAAUUCAAUCGAUUUCGAUUUUCGUACACCGUUGAACUAGUAAGUAUAUCAAACCGGCCAUUAAAAAUUGUUAAUUUUGAAGUCUUUUAAUUGUAAGAUAAAUAAUAUCAAAAAAAUAUAAAAUUUGAUUUUUAGAAGUUUUAAAUGCUUUAGAUAAUGUUUAACGGUAUGGAGCGUCGAUUCGGAAGCUCUAUCAUAAAAAAUGACUUACAAAUGCGAAGGUGAUCGUACUCAUAAGAGUAUAGUAACUGGGCUCAAUAUCUCUCUCUCUCUCUCUCUCUCUCUCUCUCUCUCUCUCUCUCUCUCUCUCUCUAUAUAUAUAUAUAUAUAGAGUGAGGCUACUAUGCUAUCGGAAGUAUGGAGCCUUCCGUGCUUCUAGCUCGUUUUCGAUGUUGUGACUUUCGAAUCAUCGAUCGGCUCCGUUAAACUUGAUCUAGAUUAUUUGAAGUACCUAGAAAAUAAAUUUUAUGAUUUUACGAUAUCAUUUGCCUAGUGAACGAAGGGGCUCAAAAUCAACGGCUGAAAAUAAAAAUCUUACAAAAGUUAAUAAUAUGACAUUAAAAUUUUAAAUCAAAGAUAUUGAUCUUAUUUUAUAUAGUAUAAAGAAUUUUCUAUCAAAAUUUCACGUAAUUUGGAUAUUUCUACACCGUUAAACUUGCAAACGGCUCACUACGGCCAUUGAAAUUUGUUGAUUUUGAGCCCAUUCGAUUACUAGGCAAAUGAUAUCGAAAAAUAAUAAAAUUUAUUUUCUAGGUACUCCAAAUACUCUAGAUCAAGUUUAACGGAGCCGAUCGACGAUUCGAAAGUCGCAACAUCGAAAACGAGCUGGAAGCACAGAAGGCUCCGUGCUUCCAAUAGCAUAGUAGCCUCACUCUAUAUAUAUAUAUAUAGUUGAGCAGGAAUACUAUCGGUAGCAAACAGGCUCCGUUGCCACCCAUUUGUUUUCGAUGUUGGAGCCUUCAAAUCGAAGAUUGGCACUGUUAAACAUGAUCUAUACCACUUGAAGUAUGUAAAAACCAAAUUUCAAAUUUUUUCGACAUCAUUGACCUAAUGAUCAAAGGGUUUUAAAAUUUGUAAUUUUAAUGAUAGAUAUGAGGUAUUUUCUCGUUUAACGAUAUAAAGUUAUCCAAAUUAAUUGCAUUUUGGUUAGAAAAUUCUUUAAACUAUUUAAAACAAGAUUUAUAAUCUUGAUCGUGAUUAAAAAAUUUCUAUCAUCACUUUUUAGAAGAUAUUCAUUUUCAACCGUUCAUUUUUACGCCCACUUGAUGGACAAGAGAAUAAUAUCGAAAAACCAUGAAAUUUGAUUUCUAGAUACUUCAAGUGAUAUUGAUCAUGUUCAACGGUGCCGAUCGUUGAUUUGGAGGCCAAAAACAAAUGGGUGGCAACGGAGCCCGUUUGCUACUGAUAGUAUUCCAGCUCAACUAUAUAUAUAUAUAUAUAGAGUUGGACUGGGCUACUAUUAGUAGUAAAAUUUCAUUGUUGCUACAAGUUUUUUAGCCUUUGGAUCAAUUCUUUUCAUCAUUUCUAACCAUUGGAUUAAAUACUAUAACCCAGUGGGGACCACUCAACCCUAGGGGGACCACUCAACUCUAACUAACUAAUAUCAUCCCAACCCUACAAUUUUUCAUCCAAGGGUUAAAAACUUGACAGCAAAAAGAGGGUUUUACUAUUAAUAGUAUUCUAGUCUAAUUCUCUCUCUCUCUCUCUCUCUCUCUCUCUCUCUAUAUAUAUAUAUAUAUAU
rnacentral:lncRNA from 1 species